UCGGGAAAACAGCCUCCCGGCCUGCGCCACCUGCGCGCAGGUAGACGGUGUCCCGUCCAAGUGCUGG
rfam:Rhodoferax sp. DCY110, complete genome.